AAUUGCUAAGCUGAAAAUAUAGUUAUAACUGCUUAUUAUUCUAAUGUAUUUUCUUUUCCUUUUUGGGAGCUGAUGCAGAUGAAAUAAAAGAUAGAGGGAGAGAUCCCGUCUACAAUACAAAGCCAUCCUGGAUUUUCGUUGGUGUUUUUGAAAUUUCAUUGGCUGUUUUUGACUUACAUUCAAGUCAGAGUUUGGAGCGCAGCGCGCUGGAAAGCCAUCUUCUCCUUGCAAGGUGAGACGUGGGACUGGAGAGAGAGCAGAUGGAAGGUUCAUUCUCCGGCAGUGGGCAGACUCUCUGACAGCCUGGGAGGAUUUGACACCCCUCCUGGCAGCCAGUCCAACAGCGAAGGAAAUGUCUGCUGGAACCAAGCAUGCCACUAAUCAAAUAAAGAUGCAGAACCAUAAAACAGACUCCAUUU